AGCGAACGCUGGCGGCAGGCCUAACACAUGCAAGCCGAGCGCCCCGCAAGGGGAGCGGCAGACGGGAGAGUAACACGGGGGAACGUACCCUUCGGUUCUGAACAACCCAGGGAAACUUGGGAUAAUACCGGAUACGUACGAACGGAGAAAGAUUUGGCGCCGAGGGAUCGGGCCGCGUCUGAUUAGCUAGUUGGUGGGGUAACGGCCCACCAAGGCGAAGAUCAGUAGCUGGUCUGAGAGGAUGAUCAGCAUCACUGGGACUGAGACACGGCCCAGACUCCUACGGGAGGCAGCAGUGGGGAAUAUUGGCAAAUGGGCGCAAGCCUGAUCCAGCCAUGCGGCGUGGGUGAUGAAGGCCCUAGGGUUGUAAAGCCCUUUCGGCGGGGAAGAUAAUGACGGUACCCGCAGAAGAAGCCCCGGCUAACUUCGUGCCAGCCGCCGCGGUAA
rnacentral:rRNA from 1 species